ensembl:snoRNA small nucleolar RNA SNORD41
CUGGAAAUGAUGCACAAAUUGAAACCAGACUGCUAGUGAUGGUUUUAAGUAUUCAUACUGUCUGAUCCAG